CUCUUCCCAAAGCCAAGCACUUGGUGGAAGAGGACAACCUUCCCUGAUAGGGGAAGAUUGUUCUUCGGUCAAGGAUAUUUGAGUAGCUGCGUCUCCCCUGAUAGUUCCUCCAAACAAGUUGAAGACACUUCAUAUAAUGCCUAGAAAGUGGAGC
ensembl:misc_RNA 7SK 7SK RNA